UACGGAGGGUGCGAGCGUUAAUCGGAAUUACUGGGCGUAAAGCGCGCGUAGGCGGCUAAGUCAGUCGGAUGUGAAAGCCCUGGGCUUAACCUGGGAACUGCAUUCGAUACUGCUUGACUAGAGUAUGGUAGAGGGAAGUGGAAUUCCGGGUGUAGCGGUGAAAUGCGUAGAUAUCCGGAGGAACACCAGUGGCGAAGGCGACUUCCUGGACCAAUACUGACGCUGAGGUGCGAAAGCGUGGGGAGCAAACAGG
rnacentral:rRNA from 1 species